UACGUAGGGGGCAAGCGUUAUCCGGAUUUACUGGGUGUAAAGGGAGCGUAGGCGGUCUGACAAGUCAGAAGUGAAAGCCCGGGGCUCAACCUCGGGACUGCUUUUGAAACUGCCGGACUAGAUUGCAGGAGAGGUAAGUGGAAUUCCCAGUGUAGCGGUGAAAUGCGUAGAUAUUGGGAGGAACACCAGUGGCGAAGGCGGCUUACUGGACGGUCACUGACGUUGAGGCUCGAAAGCGUGGGGAGCAAACAGG
rnacentral:rRNA from 1 species